rnacentral:rRNA from 1 species
GUACACUCCUGCGGGAGGCAGCAGUGGGGAAUAUUGCACAAUGGGCGCAAGCCUGAUGCAGCCAUGCCGCGUGUAUGAAGAAGGCCUUCGGGUUGUAAAGUACUUUCAGCGGGGAGGAAGGCGAUAAGGUUAAUAACCUUGUCGAUUGACGUUACCCGCAGAAGAAGCACCGGCUAACUCCGUGCCAGCAGCCGCGGUAAUACGGAGGGUGCAAGCGUUAAUCGGAAUUACUGGGCGUAAAGCGCACGCAGGCGGUCUGUCAAGUCGGAUGUGAAAUCCCCGGGCUCAACCUGGGAACUGCAUUCGAAACUGGCAGGCUAGAGUCUUGUAGAGGGGGGUAGAAUUCCAGGUGUAGCGGUGAAAUGCGUAGAGAUCUGGAGGAAUACCGGUGGCGAAGGCGGCCCCCUGGACAAAGACUGACGCUCAGGUGCGAAAGCGUGGGGAGCAAACAGGAUUAGAUACCCGUGUAGUCCCAUG